UGCAUGAAGUUGGAAUCGCUAGUAAUCGCGGAUCAGCAUGCCGCGGUGAAUACGUUCCCGGGCCUUGUACACACCGCCCGUCACACCAUGAGAGUCGGGAACACCCGAAGUCCGUAGCCUAACCGCAAGGGGGCGCGGCCGAAGGUGGGUUCGAUAAUUGGGGUGAAGUCGUAACAAGGUAUC
rnacentral:rRNA from 1 species